AGAGUUUGAUCAUGGCUCAGAACGAACGCUGGCGGCAGGCCUAACACAUGCAAGUCGAGCGCACUCUUCGGAGUGAGCGGCGGACGGGUUAGUAACGCGUGGGAACAUACCUUUUGGUAAGGAAUAGCCACUGGAAACGGUGAGUAAUACCUUAUACGCCCUUCGGGGGAAAGAUUUAUCGCCGAGAGAUUGGCCCGCGUUAGAUUAGAUAGUUGGUGGGGUAACGGCCUACCAAGUCUACGAUCUAUAGCUGGUUUUAGAGGAUGAUCAGCAACACUGGGACUGAGACACGGCCCAGACUCCUACGGGAGGCAGCAGUGGGGAAUCUUGGACAAUGGGCGCAAGCCUGAUCCAGCCAUGCCGCGUGAGUGAUGAAGGCCUUAGGGUCGUAAAGCUCUUUCGCCAGAGAUGAUAAUGACAGUAUCUGGUAAAGAAACCCCGGCUAACUCCGUGCCAGCAGCCGCGGUAAUACGGAGGGGGUUAG
rnacentral:rRNA from 1 species